UAACGUCAUUAUGCAGAAUAAGAAACGAAAGUGAGGUGGCAUAGUUGCCAAAUCACAAGAAAAUACAAUACAAAGUGACUAAUGCACCGACGAGUGCAUUCAGCUCAUAUGAAGAGGUGUCAAAGAAACAACUGCAAUACAAAGUGACUAAUGCACCGACGAGUGCAUUCAGUUCAUAUGGAGAACUGUCAAACAAGCAAUUGCAAUCCAAAGUCACUAAUGCACCGACGAGUGCAUUCAGCUCAUAUGGAGAGCUGUCCAAUAAUAGAAGUACAAAAUAAUGUAAGUACGUAAAAGAAUGUAACUAUGAAAGUAUUUGGAGAGUGAAGAGGACCGUCUAUGACGGGGGUGGUGGUGGGUCUCUUCACACUUUCCUAAUAAUGUAUACUCGCAGCUACUUUGCCUUACUUUGUACAGGAAGAGUGCAAUGUAUGACAGCUGACCAGUAUCAAUGGUGAAAAUCCUGUUCUACGAAGUGAGGAAAGGAACCAGGUUUUUGCAAUGCAAGCAUAAAGAUAAGUAAAUCACAUACGUUUACAUGUUUAUUGCAUGCAGAUUGAUUAGAACUGAUUCUAACUUUUUAUUGUAGGUUCAAUGACAAUUUACUCUUUACACCAUUGCAAGAAAUAUCAGUCAGAAAUAGGAAAGUAAUAGUGGAUUCAUCAGGAAGUAUCAAACCAGGGUGUACAGCAUGAUAGUUGAAGAUAUUCGGUAUCGUCUCAACCAAAUUGUAUACAUAAUGUUUGUUCAAUAAUUACUGUCAAUUAUCUUAUAAGUGUACGCAGUUCAUGUUCUACUGUAGUAUUUUAUUAAUAAAAAAGGCUUGUACU